rnacentral:lncRNA from 1 species
UUUUUGUUUUUUCAGGGCCGCACCUGCCACAUAUGGAGGUUCCCAGGCUAGGGGUCCAAUUGGCGCUACAGGUGCCAGCCUACACCAGAACCACAGCAACGCCAGAUCUGAGGCGCGUCUGCGACCUACACCCCAGCUUAUGGCAAUGCCGGAUCCUUAACCCACUCAGCGAGUGAGUAAGGCCAGGGAUCAAACCCGCAACCUCGUGGUUCCUAGUUGGAUUCGUUUCUGCUGCACCAUGACGGGAACUCCAAACUCCUUUUUUCUAGUUUUUAAGACUUUUUUUGCAUAUUGUAGAUAUUAGCUCUUUAGAUAUGUAGGGAAGGUAUAUUUUUGGAGUUCCCACUGUGGCUCUGCAGAAAAGAACCCAACUAGUAUCCAUGAGGAUGUGGGUUCGAUCCCUGGCCUCACUCAGUGGGUUAAGAACUCAGCAUUGCCACCAGUUGUGGUGUCGUCUCAGACGUAGCUUGGAUCCCCAUUGCUGUGGCUCUGGCAUAGGCUGGUAGCUGAAGCUCCAAUUUGAUCCUUAGAUUGGGAACUUCCAUAUGCAGCGGGCGUGGCUCUAAAAAGCAAAUAUCUUCCUAAGUGUUAUAGUCUGUUGACUUCGAUCAUUGGUUUACUUUCUUGAGUAAUCAAAUAUCCCUUUUAUUUAUUUAUUCAUUUAUUUAUUUUUGCUUUUUUUAAGGCUGCACCUGUGGCAUAUGGAAGUUCCCAGGCUAGUGGUCAAAUCCGAGCUGCAUCUCCACAGCAAUGGGGGAAUCUGAGCCACAUCUGUGACCGUACACCACAGCUCAGGGCAUUGCCCAAUCCCUAACCAAUUAGCAAGGCCAGGGAUCUAACUCACAUCCAUGAUACUAGUCAGUUUUCUAAACCUCUGAGCCACAAUGCAAACUCCACAUCUUUCAUGUGAGUUUCUCGUCUUCAUAAGUCUUCAUAAAGACUCUACCUAUAGAUGACUAGUAAUUUCUUUCUUUCUUUUUUUUUUUUUUUUAGGGCCACACUGCAGCCUAUGGAAGUUCCCAGGCUAGGGGUCGAAUCAGAGCUACAGCUGCCGGCCUACACCACAGCCACAACAACACAGGAGCGGAGCCGUGUCUGCAACCUACACUACAGCUCAUGGCGAGGCCAGAUCCUUAACCAACUGAGCAAGGCCAGGGAUCGAACCCACAUCCUCAUGGUUCCUAGUCGGGUUCGUUAACCGCUGAGCCAGGAAGGAAACUCCGACCCUGAUAAUUUCUAUGUCUGUUUUACUAUUGAGAUUUAGAACUUUUUAUACCAUUUACUAGCUAAGUCUUUGCCUUGUUGGAGAAUCUUUUUCCAGACUUCUCUGUUUCACUAAUUUGCCUUUCCCACAACAAUACCACAUUGUUUCAUUAUUGUAUCUUUUAUAUGCGUAUCCUCUGGAAAAGCAAGCUCCUCUCAACCUCAUUUACAAGUUUCCCCACUAUUUCCAUAGUUAUUAUUUGAUAUGACAUGAUUUAAUCAACCCCAAUCACGUUGGGAAUUCUAAUUCCAAUGCACUGUAUCUGUAAACCAAUUUUCGGAAUUGACAACUUCAUAUUGCUUUCUAUCUAAGAUACCUGUACCUCCAUCGGCUCAGAUACCAUUUUUAAUCCCUUAGUAGGACUCUACUUUGUAGCUUUUUUCCCCAUUUUUAAUUUUUUUCAAAGAAAACAGGAAGUCUCCUUUUACCUGAGUCGUCAACGGAUCAAGUUU